GGGCAUGGGAGUGUGGGGCAGAGGGCCCUGCACCGCCCCGCCCCGGGUCCUGUCAUUGCACUUUAGGAGCAGCUUAUGUGGCAAGUUCCGAGGGGCCUGGCGGGGAAGGAGGAAUGUCCCCCACCUGCACCUCCCAUCCAGCCCCUUCCCCCCCAGGUCCCCCCUUUGGAUAAGCUGGCUGUGUCUCCAGUCCUGGUGGCCAAAUAAGGUGCUUGGCAACACUAACUUAGCCUGCAAUUGUACCACCCUCCCAAGAACACGCAUCCAAAUCAAGCCCGAGGUACAGACCCCUGUGGAGAUGUGGGUGGUGGCUCUUCUCCCCUCCACCGGGCCCUGGGCUGGAGGUGGGGCAGGUAUCCUUUCAGCUGAGGUUGGCACACCGGACUGUGGCUCUCAAACUCCUGCAGCCUGAGCCUGGGUAUCACUUAAGUUCUCUACUUCUUAGUCUUGCUCUUCCAAGGAGUUGGAGUGGCAGGGGACUUGGGGCUGUUGCUUGUAUGAACAGGGGCAAAAGCAGCCACAUCCAGCGCUGGGCCAGGCCGUCAUCCCUGGGGCUGCUGCGUUCUCCUAGGGCAAGGUGCCAGGGCCUCCUGCCUGCAGAGCCCCCAUCCAACCUGGCUUCUGCUUUCUCUGCCACCGUCUUAGCCUCUCACUUCCUGCUUCUCCAGGCUGAGGCCCUGAGGACAGACAGUCACUCUGCCACAGUGUGGGCCCUGAGCUUCACCUCUGGUCGGCUGGUCAGGUUGGCAAGCUUCCGCGGGGCCUCGGGCUGCACAGCCCACCCACACCUGUGGUGGCCAGCAGGGUCUCUGUCCAGGACAGCUGAGUGGGGCAGUCGCUGCCCCUGCCCGUGACACCCUGGGUGAUGAGUCAAGUCCAACUCUACUCUGCUUGGCCCCCAGCUGCUGCAGGGAGGGUUGGCCUGUGUCACAGUGUUAGCACGCACCACUUCAUUCUGUCACACCCCAUCACUUGGCAUUUCCUGGCAGAACACAGGUCUGUGCUCUGGCAGAGUGUUCGGUGAGGGUGGCCUCACAGGAGCGGCUCUCUCCUGGCCUGAGGGGAGGGAGCCCUGGUGGCUGCCGACCCCCUGGUAGACAGCCUCCCUGGGCCCUGUGCCUCAGCCCCCGAACCUGACGGUAGGUCAGCUUCAGCAUCUUGUCAUCGAGUCAUCUGUGGCUGUGCUCCCUCUCCUGUCUUGGGGGCAGAGCUGCACUGCACUAGCAGCGGUGUUCCAGGAAGGUCCCUUUGUCCAGGGCAGUCAGUGAAGGAAGCUGCAGGUGUGUCGGCUGGCAAAUGGCUGGGCUGUGCUUAGGGAAGAGGACGAACUGGGCAUCCCAGGCCCUCUCAGCCCCUCCCCUCAGAGCCAUCUGGGCUGGCCCCUGCUGGGCCCUCCUGGCCACCCUGUCACACUCAACCACAGCUUUCCGCGCAGUGAAGACAAGGCGUAAGUUAUUGUUUGCAUCAAGGAAUCAUGUUUCCUGUGUACAUUUUAAAAAGAAAUGUCUCCAAAUUGUAUGGGAAUAAAACUUGUUUGAAAAUUCGGAAUAGUGCUGCUGCCAGCUUAUUUUUCUGGUACUUGUAUUUUCACAUGUUAAAUGAUCUUUAUAUAUGUUGAAUUAACAAAUAUUUUGAGUUUCCUGAGAAAAACAAAUGCAUAUUAAUGGUAUUGAAAUGUGUAGUAGUCUGGCCGUGUGCCCAAAAUUGUUUCACAGCAAAAGUGGAGAACUGUAUGUAAAGAAAGUAUAACAGUUAUUUCUUGUAUUUUAGGGGCUUUAACCAGCACCUCUUCUAGUUGGUGUUAGGAAUGUUGGCUUAAUUUCCACUUUUUUCUUUAACACGUCGUGGUUUUUGAGGCUCCAACCUGAUUAGUGCAUGGUCAGCCCUCACGAAGGCUGAGGCAUCUCUGAAGGAGGUGUUUUUGUUUGGUUUUGUUUUUUAAAAUCAUGUAUUUGCUACCAAGUAUUGUACUUGUCUCAAUGGGAAUGGUGUAAAAAACUGAAAAGGCC
rnacentral:lncRNA from 1 species